CAAGGAAGAUCCCACAGUUCCCAACCAGGGGAAGAAGCCUGGGAAUAGUUAUCAACUCCUUCCCGUUGGCUGGCUGGCCCUCCCUCCCUCUCCUGCUGCCAUUCCUGCCCUCACUUUCACUAACAAACCAUCAGGAAAUCACGAAGAAAAUCUGUUCCCAAGAGCCGGGGUGAAACGCAGAGGCUGGCGGAGCAGACCAAGGCUUGUCAGAGGUGAACACACUGAUGCCACUGGGAAGACACAGCCAAGGGAAGCUGCUUGUGGCUUCAUGCUUUGAGACUGCGUGUGUACGUGUGCAUUUCUCUCUGCGUCAUCAAAUCUAUGCAUUUAUGAAUCUGCAGAAGCUGAUGGGACUGAGUGGGCUCCAACAUCACCCGAACAUUGGAGGUGAUGAAAAUGAGGCUGGGGGACUUUCCAAGUGGGUGCUCGAUGUGGUACAUUGCUGCUAAAAACAGAAGAACUUGAACUUGUGUACAUACAAUAGGGAAGAAGACAGAAGGGUGGGGGGACCGCGAGGCCACACAAGCUUUUGUAGACAUUUCUAACAGCCCCCUCCCUGAGACCCGGGAAAGAAGAAAGGAAUUUUUCAAAGAACAAAAGACAAAGCCAGGCCAACUGUUAAAAAUCAUUUAAUAGAAAGUCCAAUGUCAAAAUGUAACAAUAAACAAAAAUACACAUGUAUAAAUAUGUAUAUAGAAUUAGACCUGUACACUUUCUCAGACCGUUUUCAAAAGGAAACAGAAUCAUCAUCUCAUCUUGGUGGUCAAAUAAAAAAUAAUAUUCAAGCGACGUGGACCCACUGGUGCCGUGGGGAUUAGUACUGCGGAAGCACUUUGAGGGUUCAAAGAAUUCCAAUCAUGAGUGCGCCGGGGCUAUUACCAACUGUCCUUUUCUAGAGACCCAGAGAGGGAAGCCGAGCAGCCCCGGGGCUCCGUACAGCGAAUCUGAUCUGCCCUUGGUACCUACAGCCACUGCUGUCUAGAGACAGCUCUCCUGUUGGAUGGGGGUUUUGAAUUGUUUGCGUUUAUGCUGUUUGAGAGUUUGCUUGUCCUGGCUCCCAGGUUAGAAGCGCCUGGGAAUUCUACUUUCUUAUUCCACAGGCUCACAGUGGUUUGGGAUGGAUGCUAUCAAGGUGUGCUGAUUUGCUCUUAAAAUAGUGGUGUCCAAAAUGGGUGUGCACCUACCAGGAAGCAUCCACACUUUCUGGGGUUCAGCGAGAAAAUACAAGAACCCCUGUUUGUAUUUUGUAUUUAUGCCUUACAAAGUUC
rnacentral:lncRNA from 1 species